rnacentral:rRNA from 1 species
GUACACUCCUACGGGAGGCAGCAGUGGGGAAUAUUGGACAAUGGGCGCAAGCCUGAUCCAGCCAUGCCGCGUGAGUGAUGAAGGCCCUAGGGUUGUAAAGCUCUUUCACCGGUGAAGAUAAUGACGGUAACCGGAGAAGAAGCCCCGGCUAACUUCGUGCCAGCAGCCGCGGUAAUACGAAGGGGGCUAGCGUUGUUCGGAUUUACUGGGCGUAAAGCGCACGUAGGCGGACUAUUAAGUCAGGGGUGAAAUCCCGGGGCUCAACCCCGGAACUGCCUUUGAUACUGGUAGUCUUGAGUUCGAGAGAGGUGAGUGGAAUUCCGAGUGUAGAGGUGAAAUUCGUAGAUAUUCGGAGGAACACCAGUGGCGAAGGCGGCUCACUGGCUCGAUACUGACGCUGAGGUGCGAAAGCGUGGGGAGCAAACAGGAUUAGAAACCCCUGUAGUCCCAUGA